CCAAUACCCUUGUUUUAAAGGCUUUAAUGAAAACUACCCAUCCGUUUCCAACCUUUUUUGUUUUACCCUUCUAUUUUUAAAUAUCCCCACAUUACCCUUUUCAAAUGUGAAAAGGAAGAAUGAAGAUGUAAGGUUACGCCAUUUUCCCCCUAAACGGAGCACGAAGAAGAAGAGGAAGAGGAAGAGAAAGUGAGAGAGAAUGGCGAAGCGUUUUGGGAAAAUCAGAGUUCUUCAGGAGGAGAAGAGAGUGGAGGAAGCAUCCAAGGCUCAGCAAUCAGCUCUGCCAUGCCCUUCUCGGUCUUGUCCUCGGAGUUGGCGAGCAAGUCUACAACAAACUCCUCCUUCCUCUUCUGCUUCUUCUUCUUCUCAACACUCUUCCCAUUCCUCUGCUUCUCACUGACUCACUGAGACAACUAAAACAAUAACCUCAUCAGGAUGAUGGAUCUGUUGUAUGUAUAUUUUCUCUUUCUGGAAGUAAUGCCAAGAUGGACAUUUAGCUGCUGGUCGUAAUGGUGUAAAGCGCCUAAGAACUAUAAGUUCUCAUCUGUUUUACUCUUUGAUGUGGUCAGACAUCCAAAUAUUUUAUCAUUCCUUUAUAGUAUGGAGACUAAAACUUUUCAUGGUAAUACGACAAAGGUUGCUAUCUAUAUUGUCAUGGAACCUGUUGUUCCACUAUUAGAAAAGAUCAAGGAACUAAAUUUGGAAGGUACAUAAAGGUAUAAACAAUCUGUUCUUCCUGGCUGAUAUUGGUUGUUUGAUUGGAUUAAUCUGAUUGCAUGAUACAUGUAAUUCUUCUUGUGCUAAAAAAUGUUUAAGGUACUUGCACUAAUGGUGAUAGCAUAUGAAGAAUCUUGGAGAAUUUAAAACUACUCUUUGACUUUUUCUUUUGAAAAUGGGAAAUCUAAAUCAAUAUUAGCCACCCGUUUAGUAGGUUGUUGGAAACUCUUCCUGGCCAACUUGGUUUCUUCGAUUCAUUUAGUGAAUUUGUUCUAUCAGUGUGAUGUUAACUUUUGUUUUAGUGCUUCUCUUUAUUUAAAAAUUGAAAUUUCCAUCCAAAUGUAAACAGUAACACGUAAUAUCUUUUGGUUUCUUUGUAUGAUUGUGCAUAUAUAGGACGUGCCAAUCCUGUUUAUCACCGUCUUGAACAAUUUUGUAAUGAUCCUAUUCAGAAUGAUUUUCAAUGGUUUGGCUAGGAAUAUAGAUUGAAGAAAAUGGAUAGGAAAGUGAAGAAAAUGAAAAGAUUUGUCGCUGCUACAACACAACUAUUACAAGAGCAGGAAGUGCUGAUGAAGCUUGAGCAAACUCUGAGGAGAAUACAAGUCAAUGCUCAGGUAGAUCGUGUGAACUUGCUUGAGUUCCAGCAGAUGGUGAUGUGCCAACAUCAAGAAAUGAGAAAUUUAAAAGAUUUGUGUCCAUGGAAUAGAACUUUCAUGCGGAUGAGUCAUGUUGCACCUUUUAAAGGAUGCAUGGUGGGUGGAAUUGAUUCUUCCGUUGAAGAGAUAUGCAAGCCAACCAUUGGUGGUUCAAUGCAGUUGAGAAAUGUUAGUAUUGAAUUGCUUGUGAGUCAAGUCUUCCACAAGGCUAUUUAUUGUUCACAAAAGAGAAUUAAAGCCAUAAAUUUCCACUUCAUUCCAUUAAAGCUGUUUUAACCAUCUAGUUUGACAUUUUUUUUUCUUUUUUUCAAAGGCAAAGCUUCCAAUGGUAUUGAGUUACUUUCAUGGCUUUUGAAAAAUUCUUUUAUUUGUUGAUAUGGUGGAUGAAUUCAGGUCCAAUAGCCGUUUUCUUAUGAAGCAUAUACUUUGUCUUGUACUAUGCAAUUA